GGCAAGGAGGAAGAAAACAGUCCCGUCACUGCCUAAUCUGUACCGAGAACCACAUUUGUUCUACACAUGUGAGAAAGUACAACUGCUUCCUGCCAGAGUUUGUUUGUCAGCAGGAUUACGCAAAUGCCACAGGGCCGAUUUCCACAUAACCUGGUUGAAGGAUGAGGCAUGGGCCAAGAAACAACCCAUUCGACUUUGGGCAAGUGGCGGAUCCAGGGAUUCCUUUCACUUCCUUUAAUGUUGCAAGAUAGGGUGUUUUUGACAUUUUCACCACUUUCCCAGCAAAUAAUGCAUUGAUCUUGAUGAAAAAUAUCAGGCAUUUUAGGGGGCUGCUGGCCCUUGGCCAAGCACCCUGGGGUAGGCGAGUGAUCACAUCCUCGUCUCAUGAAGAGGAAACUAGGUCAAACGCAGAGAACGUUCCAGAGCCCUUGAGGCCUAAAACAUGAUGACAGCAUCUCUACCCAGUCGUCCAAUUACGGAAUUCUGAUACUGUUAAUUUAGAUUUCGUCUAGUUUACUGAAUUGUUCAUCACAAUCAUUUAUGUCCGACGCUCUUCUUCAACUUAAAGUUCUUGAAAUGUCUUUGUCCACAAACGUUCAAAAGAGGG